ensembl:lncRNA
AUGUUUUUUCCCAUACGAAGGUCAUGUGCUCCAAUGACCUUUACAGCUCAAGGUGUGGUUUCACAGUCAAGGGGGAUUUCUCCCCAUUCCAGCCUCAGACUUUUGUGUCUCCUCACUUAUAUUUGCACUGCUGCUUGUGUGCCCAGGCUGUGCCAAGGCAAGCAUUGGCCCCAGUGCAAAGACCAGAGGCAGAACAAGCAAACCAGAGUGGAAAUGUGGGACAGUUCACAAAAAAUGAGCAUGAAAUUGAAGUUUAGGGUGCUAUGUGCAGGGGUCUUUCUUAAACAUUUACUUCAGGCUUUCAAAUCCUAUAAGCAUUCUUUACAUUACAUGCAUAAUUCAUAAUAUUAUUUUAAAAAAAUAAAAGGCACUUACUGCUUUAGUAUAAGAUGAAAUCAAAACUCUUCAGCAUCUCUUUUAUUUGAGAGAUUUUGAGUUUUCCAAAUAAUUCAUACUUGGUCUGACUGGUCAUACUGAGUGGUCACUGACUCAGAUUCCUGUCUGGAAAAUUCCCUAAACCUUGAACUGUUCAUUUGUGUCUCCAAAUCCGAACAUUAUAUUUUGAAAUCUCUUGUUCCAUUUACAUAUUUUACAUUUUAAAUUGCAAUAAACUGCUUCCAUUUUGGAGUUGUAUUUUGUGGAGUAAUGUGCUUCCCUAAUCCAAUGAAAGAUGUUCUCAAAGCACAUGGGCAUGAGACUUGAUGAGAUUCUGUGUUUGAAACAGAGACACUUUAACAAAACCAGGAUGCAAUGGAGCUACAAGCUCCAAACAGCAGCAGUUUAGCAAGGGAAAUGGUUUUGCAAGUCUGGCUGAGCUGAAGUGUUGAAAAUUUAAAAAAGAAGGGGACAGUUCAGUAAGCAGCAUUACCUCUGCCCAGGAUUUUAUUCCUUUUGAAAGACCAAGUUCUCUGAAGGCAGACAGAACACUGAGCUCCAGCACAAAUCCCAGAGUCGUUGUGCCAAUGCUGAAUGACAUUGCACCCACAUCCGUGAUGGGGGAUCUGUGAAGACAAAGUCCUGCUUCUUGUAAUGGAUAAUUCUGCUGGAUUUUGCAGGCCAUACUUCUUGGAUGAGAAAAAGAUGCAGAGGCAUUUCAAGGACUGGUCUUCCCCUUUUUCCCUCCUCAUUGAAUAUGUAGUCUCAACUGCUAGACAAAGAUCUUAGCAUUAUUGUUAGCAUUUGAGUUGAGGCAUCAUUUGAAUUCAUCGAUCUCCAAACUGAAAAUUCAUCAAUUUUACUUUUGGAGAAGUAGUUCUGAACUCAGAUGCAACAUAAAAUUCACAUAAUACCCCAAAAUUGUCUUAUUGGGGCUCAUGGGAAGUUUCUUGAAUGACACCUGCUGGAAAGUUUAAAGUGUGUCUGAGAGCUGUGCUGUGGGACAGAGGCACGUCUCAGCAGGAACAUCUUCCCUGUCUUCUGAUGGUUGUGCCUGUGAUGGGUGAGUACAAACAGAGCUGCCAAGGUGAAGCAGUGUGAGUUGUUAAACAACGUGGAAGAUUAUGAAACUUAGCAAACAUCUGCAAAUUUUUUUAGAGCAGACUGUGCACUUGACAAAAUUUCUUAGCAGUACAAAUUUAAUUACAUUUAGUUUUUAUUUCGUGUAUUUCAAGAAGGUUUAACUUUAGAAUACAGAGUUGUGCUGCCUGAAUUUACAUUGUGCCAUGCAAAUAUAGCAAUAAAAACUGGUUUUUCUUCCUCUGCAAUACUCUCAAUAACACAGUUGUGAAAAAUAGUCUCAGUGGAGUAAGUAGUAUAUGUAAGUAGUAUAUGUUGUUUCAUAAAGCACAUUAGUCCCUCUGGUUUGACAUCAACUGGGUGGUCAGGGCUUUGUCCUGCAAACCUCCAAGGAUGGAGCUAGUACAACCUCCCUUUGCUGACUGUCGUACUGGAGAAAUUGUUUCUCCUUCUAUCCACUCCAAACCUCUCCUGCCCCGGCUCCCACCGCAUGUGAGGAACCUGGCUCUAUCUCUGUGACCACCUUGUGGCAAGGUUCCUCUUUGUUAUCCUCAGCUAAAACUGGCUUCAAGGUCAGCACCUUUCUCCCCAAACUCCACUUUGUCCCCAUUCCGGAGCUGUGGGGGGGUUGGUCCCACUGUGGUGCGGUCACAUCUGUGUGCUCCAAGAGGGCAGGGAGUGAGAGCAUCCUACUGGGAGCAGCCCAGGAGCAUUGGGGGACAACGGCUGUCACUGUCCCUGCAGGGCAGGCUUAGGGUCUCAGGAGCAUCAAAUCCUACAGAAAUGACCAUUUUGGCUGAAGUGCAGAAAU